UACCUUUUAAUUCACUGUUUGCCACUACA
rnacentral:piRNA from 1 species